rnacentral:rRNA from 1 species
AACGAACGCUGGCAGCAUGCCUAACACAUGCAAGUCGAACGAGACCUUCGGGUCUAGUGGCGCACGGGUGCGUAACGCGUGGGACCCUGCCCUUAGGUUCGGAAUAACUCCCCGACAGGGGUGCUAAUACCGGAUAAUGUCUUCGGACCAAAGAUUUAUCGCCUUUGGAUGGGCCCGCGUUGGAUUAGCUAGUUGGUAGGGUAAAAGCCUACCAAGGCGACGAUCCAUAGCUGGUCUGAGAGGAUGAUCAGCCACACUGGGACUGAGACACGGCCCAGACUCCUACGGGAGGCAGCAGUGGGGAAUAUUGGACAAUGGGCGAAAGCCUGACCCAGCAAGGCCGCGUGAGUGAUGAAGGCCUGAGGGUUGUAAAGCUCUUUUACCCGGGAUGAUAAUGACAGUACCGGGAGAAUAAGCUCCGGCUAACUCCGUG